UACGAAGGGGGCUAGCGUUGCUCGGAAUCACUGGGCGUAAAGGGUGCGUAGGCGGGUCUUUAAGUCAGGGGUGAAAUCCUGGAGCUCAACUCCAGAACUGCCUUUGAUACUGAGGAUCUUGAGUCCGGGAGAGGUGAGUGGAACUGCGAGUGUAGAGGUGAAAUUCGUAGAUAUUCGCAAGAACACCAGUGGCGAAGGCGGCUCACUGGCCCGAUACUGACGCUGAGGCACGAAAGCGUGGGGGAGCAAACAGG
rnacentral:rRNA from 1 species